rnacentral:rRNA from 1 species
ACUGCUCAGUAACACGUGGAUAAUCUGCCCACAGGACGGGGAUAAUCCCGGGAAACUGGGAAUAAUACCCGAUAGAUCAUUGGUACUGGAAUGUCCUUUGAUCUAAAUGCUCUUUCUACGCCUGUGGAUGAGUCUGCGUCCGAUUAGGCUGUUGUUGGGGUAACGGCCCAACAAACCUACGAUCGGUACGGGUCGUGAGAGCGAUUGCCCGGAGAUGGGAUCUGAGAUAUGAUCCUAGGCCCUACGGGGUGCAGCAGGCGCGAAAACUUUACAAUGUGGGAAACCAUGAUAAGGGAAUUCCCAGUGUUCCUACAUAGUAGGAACUGUUUAGGUGUGUAAAAAGCACUUAAUAGAAAGGGCCGGGUAAGACCGGUGCCAGCCGCCGCGGUAAUACCGGUGGCUCGAGUGGUGGCCACUUUUAUUGGGCUUAAAGCGUUCGUAGCUGGGUUGUUAAGUCUCUUGGGAAAUCUGACGGCUCAACCGUCAGGCGUCCAAGGGAUACUGGCAAUCUUGGAACCGGGAGAGGUGAGGGGUACUUCGGGGGUAGGAGUGAAAUCCUGUAAUCCUCGAGGGACCACCUGUGGCGAAGGCGCCUCACCAGAACGGCUUCGACAGUGAGGGACGAAAGCUGGGGGAGCAAACCGGAUUAGAUACCCGGGUAGUCCCAGCCGUAAACGAUGCGCGUUAGGUGUAUCGGUGACCACGAGUCACCGAGGUGCCGAAGGGAAACCGUGAAACGUGCCGCCUGGGAAGUACGGUCGCAAGGCUGAAACUUAAAGGAAUUGGCGGGGGAGCAC